GAUGAACGCUAGCGGCAGGCCUAAUACAUGCAAGUCGAACGGGCGGUAGCAAUACCGCUAGUGGCGCACGGGUGCGUAACGCGUAACCAACCUGCCCAGAUCUGGGGGAUAGCCCGCCGAAAGGCGGAUUAAUACCGCAUAAACCCACAGUGUGGCAUCACAUAAUGGGUAAAGAUUUAUCGGAUCUGGAUGGGGUUGCGUAGCAUUAGCUAGUUGGCGGGGUAAUGGCCCACCAAGGCGACGAUGCUUAGGGGACCUGAGAGGGUGAUCCCCCACACUGGCACUGAGAUACGGGCCAGACUCCUACGGGAGGCAGCAGUAGGGAAUAUUGGGCAAUGGGCGAGAGCCUGACCCAGCCAUGCCGCGUGCCGGAUGAAGGCCUUCUGGGUUGUAAACGGCUUUUCUCAGGGAAGAAAACGGGGAUGCGUCCUCAACUGACGGUACCUGAGGAAUAAGCACUGGCUAACUCCGUG
rnacentral:rRNA from 1 species